GAACACUAGAGAAAAGAGAAACAUUAAAACAGCAGUUUUAUAAUUAAAGCUGGGCUUCACUUUGCAAGAGCAUAACUCUUACUUUCUCCAAAGCUCUCUACCAGUCCUCACUUAUUUUAUCAAAUAAUUAUAUAUUUACUAUACAUGCAUACAACUCAAGCUAAGUCACUAAAAGUUUAUACGUGCCUUGUGAUAAUAAAUUUAGUAAUGACUUUCCCCCCCUACAAACAGAUCUCUUCAUACCUGAAUUUCUAAACUAUUCCAUAAACUGAUUGUUUUCAGUGAGUGACUAACAAAAACAGGAAAUUUUAAAGGUAAGUCCACGCAUUACCACUGCUCAAGUUGUUCCAGUAUAGCUGGAUGACUCUGUAGGAAAUACCCAGAAACGGCUCAUGUACAUUGGCUUUACUAGCAUGGUUUCCUCCAAAAGAACCAUGGGAACAUAGAAGCCUACAAGGAACCAGAAAUCUCUCACCAAAAACUCAUUCCAAUGGUUUCCUAAGGGAAGCCAUGGUAAUUUAAUAGCAUUGAAACAAACCUAAGUUUAAAAUUUAGAUACACAUCCACAAAACUUUAUGGCAUCUCAAAUGUGCACAGUGUUAAGCACCCAAAAGCAAGAAAGGGGAGAACCUCACACAUACGGCAAGGAACUUUAGAUCUCCUGCAAACAUAAAAAAGGGAGGGGCACUUUUGAACUUCUCAUUCACAUUCUACAACCAGUUUUAGCAAGCUGCAUUCUACCUCACAGAAAGGGAGGGGAAACAGCAACACAACACGGGGAGAAACUUUUCCCACAUACUUUAAGGAAACAUGCACUCCAACAAAGGGCACUGCGUGCCAGCUCCUAUAUCCAGAAUGCAUUACUUGAUCAGUUUUUUUAAAAAAAAGGUCUAACCUAGUUUAUCUAAUUCUGAAGCAGUGCUUUGAACCAUUGAAUGUCUGGAGGAGGAUUCUAAGCAUGUUCAGCUGAACAAGUUUAGAUUCUUCCCUGUAACUGGAAGCCACAACUUACCAGGGUCCUCAUUUGCAAGGGAUUGGUGGAUCAUAUGCUAGCUUGGCAUGAUUAGGGUGGGUGGGAAUAGAACCAUGCAUACCUUGUAGUAUCAGUCCAAGGUCCACCAUCCUACUUUCAAAAGCAAUCUGUCAAAUGUCUUUGGACACUCACAGAGUAAGAACAUGAUAGUGAUCCAUUGUUUGUGCCCAGUAGUCAGUACUCAGAGGAAUACCACCUCUAAACUUGUAAUCACAGCAAUUUGCUGCGUUUUCUUAUCAGGAUGAAACCAUGCACAUUCGGAAGAAGGCUAUGAACGCCAAUUUCAUAACCCUUCUCCCUCUCUCACACAUACCCUCUAGGGAAAAGAGAGCAGAACCAUUCCCAGCUGGCUUUUUUUCUUUAUUCAACAAGAAAAUAGUUUCAACAAGCCUGACAAACACAGAGUUCUGUGUUUUAUUGUUUACUAUUAUAUAUCAUUACUUCUAAGUACAAAUAUUAUUAAAUGCAUGCUCUCUCUUUACAGGCAGGGAAAGAACUUCAUCUCAAUUGAAGCGCACAGAAAGCAGAGGGGGAAGCUGGCAUGUACAGAUGUGCAUUCUUCUGUUUCCAACCAAAGGAGCCAACUGUUUGUAUACAUGAUUGCAGCACAAGUUUGAACAGGUCUUUCAGAAGAGCUCUUUAGUCUUCUGCUAUUGUCAUGACUGGACAGAACAGAUUUCCAAUUCUCACUAUAUCUUGACCAAAAGGACACUGCUGAAACCCUUAUUGAAAGCAUUAAUGCAAAAGCUAUGAGAAA